UAAUUAUUAUCAAUGGCCGCGGUACUUUGACCGUGCUAAGGUAGCGCAAUCAAUUGGCUUUUAAUUGAAGCCAUGUAUGAAUGGAAUCACGGGGUUUAGCUGUCUCUUAACUAAUUUAUCGAAGUUACUAUUUAGGUGAAAAAGCCUGAAGAAAGAAAAAGGACGAGAAGACCCUUAGAGUUUUUCUAAAAUUAGGAUUAUUCCUAAAACAGUUUAGUUGGGGCAACAUAGGAGCAUAUUUAACCUCCUGUAAUAUACUUACCGAUAAUAAUAAAUAUGAAUAAACUACCUUAGGGAUAACAGCAUAAUUUUAUAAAUAAGUU
rnacentral:rRNA from 1 species